UACGUAGGGUGCAAGCGUUGUCCGGAAUUAUUGGGCGUAAAGGGCUCGUAGGCGGCGUGUCGCGUCGGGAGUGAAAGACCGGGGCUUAACCCCGGUUCUGCUUCCGGUACGGGCAUGCUGGAGUGUGGCAGGGGAGACUGGAAUUCCUGGUGUAGCGGUGGAAUGCGCAGAUAUCGGGAAGAACACCCGUGGCGAAGGCGGCUCUCUGGGACGGUACUGACGCUGAGACGCGAAAGCGUGGGGAGCGAACAGG
rnacentral:rRNA from 1 species